AUAUAAAACAAAACAAAGUAAAAGAAAAGAAAAGAAUAGAAAGAAACAGAGAAGAAACGAAACAGGGGAGAGAGGAGGAGAAAAAGAAAGGAAAGAAAGGAAAAAGGGGAAAUAGGGAUUUUGAAGCUUGGAAGUUUAAUAGCUAAUGUUGUCUCGGGAAAUCUCGGCUAAGCAAGACAAGACAAAGACAACAGGAGUUAGCUUGGAAACUACGGUUAGGUUAAAGACAGAUAGUCGAAUCAGCAUCAUAAGCCGAUCCCGAACUCAAAAAGGUAAAGCAUGUUAAUUAUCGGUAAUGGCAUGUACCUAGGAUGUCUUAAGUGUGUUAUAUUGGAUUGUGAUUGUAAUAGUGAAAUAAUUAAAUUAAUAAUUGAUAAUAAUACAUGAUAAGUGUUUAAAUUUAAGUAUUAGAUAAUAUAUAAAAUGCGUUUGGAUUGAUUUAAUAUUUGCAUUUGUAUUGGUUGUAGAUUGAAAUUUACAGGAUUGGUAAAUUUUUAAAAUACAA